rnacentral:tRNA from 1 species
GAUAAAGUGGCUGAAUUAAAGCGAUAAAUUGUAAAUUUAUUAAUGAGUUAAACUCCUUUAUU